rnacentral:sRNA from 22 species
AUUAGAUUCAUGCCGAAUCCAGUUAAAUAACUGGAACGGGGGAACCAAUUUUGGGGUGAAUCCGGCUUUUGCUGGUAGGGCAAUCCCCUUGCCCGAAUCCGUCAGCUAACCUCGCAGGCUUUUGGGGGAGGGUAU